AUGGGGCUUGAUGUUGGACAAUAUCCAAUCUCGCUACGAGCUGUAAACCGGGGGUGGGGGAUGGUACGAUACACAACAGCCACAGCCCCAGCUGUGUUCCCAUUGUCACCAUGCUGCGAAGACACUUCCUCUGCCUCCCAGGUCACCAUGGGCUGCUUGAUCUCCGGUUACUUCCCUGAGCCAGCCACAGUGCAGUGGAAUUCAGGAGCUAUCUCCUCCGGCAUCCAGAACUUCCCUUCAUUAUUGCAGUCAUCCAGUGGCCACUACAUUUUCAGUAGCCAGCUCACCGUCCCAGGCUCCAGCUGGCAAUCCCAGAAUUUCGAAUGCAAUGUUGAACACGCGUCUACCAACACCACAAUCAGCAAAGAGAUCGAAGCCUGCCUUAUGCAUGAGCCAGUGACCCCGGAAGUCCUCCUCCUCCAUUCCUCCUGCAACCGCAAUACGGACAAUGCCACCAUUCAGCUUGUGUGCCUUAUCUCGGGCUUCUACCCUCGCACAGUCAAAGUGAAUUGGCUGGUAAACAGGCAAUUGGCAAUUUUGCCAGCACACACCGAGAACCCAAGGAAAGAUGCCACCGGAGACACCUUCAGCACUACCAGCACAGCCAAUGUUACCCAAAUUGAUUGGAAAGAGGGGAAGACAUACACCUGCCAGGUGAUCCACCAAGGUCACAAAGUGGAAAAACAUGCCACAAAAUGCAGAGGGGACAGUGGCAAUUGUACAGCCAAUGGCAUUAAGGUCUCCAUCUUACCCCCAACUCCGGCUGACCUAUACAUGAAUGGAGAACCCAGGCUUAUCUGCGUGGUGACUGGUCUUGAAAGUAAUGUGGGCAUGAAAGUGCGCUGGUCCAAGGAGAAACCAGGGACCCUGAACCCUGAACCACUGGAGCCCGCACAAGACUCAGAUGGAACCUUCACCCUUAAGAGCCCCCUGAUCAUCUCCAAGCAAGACUGGCUGGCAGGUGACAUUUACACUUGCACACUUGAACAUUCAAGCGGCAUUGCUCCCUACUCUAAGACAAUUGCUAAGAAAACAGGCAAACGGACCCAAGCCCAAGUGUAUCUCUUCCGUCCCCACAACGAAGAGUUGAAAUCUCGCGAUCCAAAUGUAUCCAUUACCUGCCUGGUUAAAGGGUUCAAUCCUGAGGACAUCUCCAUCAAAUGGCUUGAGAAUCACAAUGCCAUGACUGGAAACUACUAUGUUACCACCCCGGUCCAGAUGGACAGCAGUCAUGAUUCCUAUUUUGUCUACAGCAAGCUGACAGUCACCAAGACUAACUGGAACAAUGGCCAUAUUUACACCUGCCACGUAGUCCACGAAGGAUUCAGCAUGAAGUAUACCCAGAGGAGCGUUGAGAAAACUCAGGAAGCUAAGCAGGAAUUCUUUGUUUCAACUGAUGAUGAUUACAGUGAUGAAAAAGAGGAAGAACUGGACAGCCUGUGGACCACCAUCUUGAUUUUCUUCCUCCUCUUCCUCCUCAGCAUCUGCUAUAGCGCCACCGUGACACUGUUCAAAGUCAAAUGGCUUGUCUCCGCUGUGAUGCAUUUGAAGAACAAACCAGCUGGUCCCGAAUACAGGAAUGUAAUCCAGGGGAUACUAUAG